rnacentral:rRNA from 1 species
GCGAACGGGUGAGUAACACGUGGGUGAUCUGCCUCGUACUUCGGGAUAAGCCUGGGAAACUGGGUCUAAUACCGGAUAUGACCUUCGGUUGCAUGACUGAGGGUGGAAAGAUUUAUCGGUACGAGAUGGGCCCGCGGCCUAUCAGCUUGUUGGUGGGGUAAUGGCCUACCAAGGCGACGACGGGUAGCCGGCCUGAGAGGGCGACCGGCCACACUGGGACUGAGACACGGCCCAGACUCCUACGGGAGGCAGCAGUGGGGAAUAUUGCACAAUGGGCGGAAGCCUGAUGCAGCGACGCCGCGUGAGGGAUGACGGCCUUCGGGUUGUAAACCUCUUUCGACAGGGACGAAGCGCAAGUGACGGUACCUGUAGAAGAAGCACCGGCCAACUACGUGCCAGCAGCCGCGGUAAUACGUAGGGUGCGAGCGUUGUCCGGAAUUACUGGGCGUAAAGAGCUUGUAGGCGGUUCGUCGCGUCGUUCGUGAAAACUUGGGGCUCAACCCCAAGCUUGCGGGCGAUACGGGCGGACUAGAGUACUUCAGGGGAGACUGGAAUUCCUGGUGUAGCGGUGAAAUGCGCAGAUAUCAGGAGGAACACCGCUGGCGAAGACGGGUCUCUGGGAAGUAACUGACGCUGAGAAGAGAAAGAGUGGGUAGAGCACACAGGAUUAGAUACCCUGGUAGUAGCACGCCGUAAACGCUGGGUACUAGGUGUGGGUUUCCUUCCACGGGAUCCGUGCCGUAGAUAACGCACUAAGUACACCGCCUGGGGAGUACGCCCGCAAGGCUAAAACUCAAAGGAAUUGACGGGGGCCCGCACAAGCGGCGGAGCAUGUGGAUUAAUUCUAUGCAACGCGAAGAGCCUUACCUGGGUUUGACAUACACCGGAAACCUGCAGAGAUGUAGACCCCCUUGUGGUCGGUGUACAGGUGGUGCAUGGCUGUCGUCAGAUCGUGUCUUGAGAUGUUGGGUUAAGUCUCGCAACGAGCGCAACCCUUAUCUUAUGUUUCCAGCGCGUAAUGUCGGGGACUCGUGAGAGACUGCCGGGGUCAACUCGGAGGAAGGUGGGGAGGACGUCAAGUCAUCACACCCCUUAUGUCCAGGGCUUCACACAUGCUACAAUGGCCGGUACAGAGGGCUGCGAUACCGUGAGGUGGAGAGAAUCCCUUAAAAACGGUCUCAGUUUGGAUCGGGGUCUGUAACUCGAGCCCCGUGAAGUUGGAGUCGCUAUUAAUCGCAGAUCACCAACGCUGCGGUGAAUACGUUUCCCGGGCCUUGUACACACCGCCCGUCA